UACGUAGGACCCAAGCGUUAUCCGGAUUUACUGGGUGUAAAGAGUUGCGUAGGCGGCUCGUAAAGUGAAUAGUGAAAGCUGGUCGCUCAACGAUCAAAACAUUAUUCAAACUCACGAGCUCGAGAGUGAUAGAGGUUACUGGAAUUUCUUGUGUAGGAGUGAAAUCCGUAGAUAUAAGAAGGAACACCAAUGGCGUAGGCAGGUAACUAGAUCAUUUCUGACGCUCAGGCACGAAAGCGUGGGGAGCGAACCGG
rnacentral:rRNA from 1 species